UCAGGAUGAACGCUAGCGGCAGGCCUAACACAUGCAAGUCGAGGGGUAACAUAGUUUGCUUGCAAACUGAUGACGACCGGCGCACGGGUGCGGAACGCGUAUCGAACCUGCCCCCUUCAGGGGAAUAGCCCAUGGAAACGUGGAUUAAUGCCCCAUGGCACCCGACGGCCACCUGGUGGUUGGGUUAAAGAUUUAUCGGAAGGGGAUGGCGAUGCGUGCCAUUAGCUUGUUGGUAAGGUAACGGCUUACCAAGGCAACGAUGGCUAGGGGCCCUGAGAGGGGGAUCCCCCACACUGGUACUGAGACACGGACCAGACUCCUACGGGAGGCAGCAGUGAGGAAUAUUGGACAAUGGUGGGAACACUGAUCCAGCCAUGCCGCGUGCAGGAUGACGGCCCUAUGGGUUGUAAACUGCUUUUAUACGGGAAGAAACGCACCUACGUGUAGGUGUCUGACGGUACCGUAAGAAUAAGGACCGGCUAACUCCGUGCCAGCAGCCGCGGUAAUACGGAGGGUCCGAGCGUUAUCCGGAAUCAUUGGGUUUAAAGGGUCCGUAGGCGGGCCGUUAAGUCAGGGGUGAAAGUCUGCGGCUCAACCGUAGAAUUGCCUUUGAUACUGGCGGUCUUGAGUCGUUGUGGGGUUGCCGGAACAUGUGGUGUAGCGGUGAAAUGCAUAGAUAUCACAUAGAACACCGAUCGCGAAGGCAGGUGACCAACAACGAACUGACGCUGAUGGACGAAAGCGUGGGUAGCGAACGGGAUUAGAUACCCCGGUAGUCCACGCCGUAAACGAUGGAUACUAGCUGUGGGGACUUCGGUCUCCGUGGCCAAGCGAAAGUGAUAAGUAUCCC
rnacentral:rRNA from 1 species